rnacentral:rRNA from 1 species
AUUGAACGCUGGCGGCAUGCUUUACACAUGCAAGUCGAACGGUAACAGGCCGCAAGGUGCUGACGAGUGGCGAACGGGUGAGUAAUGCAUCGGAACGUGCCCAGUCGUGGGGGAUAACGCAGCGAAAGCUGCGCUAAUACCGCAUACGAUCUAUGGAUGAAAGCGGGGGACCGUAAGGCCUCGCGCGAUUGGAGCGGCCGAUGGCAGAUUAGGUAGUUGGUGGGGUAAAGGCUCACCAAGCCAACGAUCUGUAGCUGGUCUGAGAGGACGACCAGCCACACUGGGACUGAGACACGGCCCAGACUCCUACGGGAGGCAGCAGUGGGGAAUUUUGGGCAAUGGGCGCAAGCCUGAUCCAGCAAUGCCGCGUGCAGGAAGAAGGCCUUCGGGUUGUAAACUGCUUUUGUACGGAACGAAACGGUCCUGGUUAAUACCUGGGGCUAAUGACGGUACCGUAAGAAUAAGCACCGGCUAACUACGUGCCAGCAGCCGCCGCAGUAA